CAUCAUAAUCCGUCUCAUGAGCAGGAAUAAGCAUGGGAAUGGUGCAUGGUCAAGCCCUCUACAUCAGAUCAGAGAUCCUGUAACCUCUCGUUGUCAUCACAGUGUGAACCAACUUUCCCCACGCCCUUUCAAGGCGUACUUGCGAGCGGGCGUUCUUAAUUUGCGUUAAAGAUUGUUAAUUUACAACUGGAGGUGUCCGUCCAGUCCAGAUUAAUGUUGCGGAAUUCAAAGGUCGGAUCUUGGAACAGAAAAUGCUGAAUAGAAACCAUAAAUUAUGUUAAAGAAGAUGUUGUUUAACAUAACAUCAGCAUCCAGGCUGCUAUUGAUCUUUCCUGUGGAUCCAUCUGGCUAUUCCUCCCCACCAUAUUUGCCCCUACUCCACCACAAUGCAACAGUUGAAGCUUCCGGGAUCCUUUUCAAGCUUUCUCAGAAGACCAGUUUCACAUUGAUUAAAUUAAAGGCAACAUGUACCGCUUUAAGAGUUCCCACCAAGGCUUCAAAAAGAUUGGCACAUUUUUCAUCAGCAAAGAGCACUCCAAACUUCACACUUAGUGUCCCAUCAGCAUCUAAACAAAAGAAAGGGUAUUACAAUACCAUGAAAUGGAACAAUAAUUUUAUGCCAUUGAGCAUUUGUGGAUGAGUGCAGAUUCCGUGUUCUUAUGAAAGUUUACAUGGUUACAUAUAAAACGUGUACAUAUUUGUUUAUCUGUUUGUUUUGUUGUAUUGUGUGUGCGCAUGUGAAAACCAUCUUGUUGAAGUGCAGUCUAUAAAUAUUGUAAACAAAUACUGUAUGUGUUUCCAUAUCCAAGAACUGUACUAUCAAGACCUGAGCUCUUAUAGGCCCCCAGUGAAGCAUGAUCCUAACCUGGAGUUAUGGCCACUGAUAGGAUCGCUGACAUACUCUUGUACCAGUGGAACUCAAAGGUAUAACAGUGUAGUAUAUUUGCACUACUGUUUCAUUGGUGGUGGCCUACUGCUGGCAAAAUCCUCAUGCCAGCAAGACAGUGGGCCAGUUUGGGUGAUCAUCUGCCAGCACACGUAAUAACUUUGGUGCCCUGCCAAGUGUGUGCCCACCCUGAUGUCAUCAACAGACAUCCUGAUGUGCUCUUGGUCACGUGAGGAGGAUGCAUCUGAAUUCCCCCUCUAAACAUGCUCCAAAACCCUGCUUGAGCAAUUGAUAAUCUCAGCUCCCCUCACAAGGCAAACCUCCAAACACAAUCCUCAAAAAGCACUACCAAACAAGUGCAUACCCCAUGGGACAGUGGGAAGAUGAACAAGAGUGUGUGACAUGGGAAAAGACCUGCGUGGAGACACCCACUCUCAGGCACUCCUUCGACAAUCACCCAGUCAUAGGUAGUGUCUGCUGUAGCUGCUUCCCAUUUUGUCUCACCACCCCCAUGUCUUUUUUGCCUCCACAAACAACUAGGCAAUUCUCCCCACCACUCACAGAGGCAAGCAUGUUUUUCACAAGGGAGGUUUAUAGUGGCAUCCAACAGUGAGCUGCAGGAAGCCAGCCGCUUAUUCUCACUGGAUUCCUAUGCCUUUCUAAACUACAGAAAUAUAACAGAUGCACCUGUAUCUACCAGAAGAUAGUAUGAUGGGAAAGUGCACCUUUCACAGGCAGAGGCCCUGGAAGAGCAAGUUGGUUGGUUACGCCAUAUUGUGUAUGGAUGGCACAAUUAAUUUCUGCCCACUUUAUAGUAUUCUAUUAAAGAAUGACUGAUUUUGUCUCUGUUCCUUCCCCACACUUGUUUCCCUCCUCAGGUAUCUCACACUUUAUUGGUCCUUAUUUCCUUGUUAGUGAUGCACCAGCAAGGCCAAUGGGGCAGUUCCAAACAGAUCCAAAUCCACCCAAUGCCCCCCAUAUGGCUACAGGAGAUAUGUUGAUAAAUCAAACUGUGGUGCUGCUGUGAAGUAGAGGGAACAGACUGAUUAUAAGAUGCUUGAGUACUUUACCAGUAACUACUGACAAGCAAUCAAAGGAGGUUGAAGCUGAUAUGGUUGGGUGAGAUACAGGAAAACUGCACAAGAUCCAAUUCAGCUAGUUCAUUAAUUCAUUCAUUUGAUUUUAAUACCGCCCUUCAAAAAUGGCUCAGGGUGAUUUACAGAGAUAAAUAAUAAAUAAAUAAGAUGGAUCCCUGUCCCCAAAGGGCUCUCAUUCUAAAAAGAAACAUAAGAUAAGACACCAGCAACAGUCACUGGAGGUACUGUGCUGGGGGUGGAUAGAGAGAAUCACUACAUUAAAAGGUGUCUCUUUGCCCAGUUAGCAGGGGUUAGUUAGCUAGUUGUAUGGAAGGGCCAUAAGUAUGGCAGAGAAGUGUGACAAAAAGAUCAUUGGAUGACAAUCCAGUGAUUGUCUAUCACACUUUAUGAGUCAUGCUCCAAUCAUUUCACCUGGAAGUCUAUAAACAGGAAUCAAACCAGGGACCUCUUGUACGCAACAUCUGUGCUGUCCCAAUAAACUACAGCUCCAUACAGGAUGCUUUUGGUACUGGGCUAUAGGGCUCAGACUGGGGCUGGGAGAGGUAUUUCAUGUGCUAUACUCUUGGGAGAUUGCAAAGGUCCUGUAUGUGCCUUUAUGGCAGUGUGAUUAGGAUCUUGCUUUCUAGAGUGGGAGGCUGGGUUCUAGUCCUUCCAAUUUGCAUCAGUACUUAUAAUUGCAGGGAAGGAGUCCCAGAAAGCAACUAUUGCCACAUUUACAUCACUGGAUAAGUCUUGGAGGACUCACACCUUCCAUUUUCUAAUAUAUUGGUCUUACACACUGAAAUACCAACCAAGGCACAAUGCUGCUCGCUGUUAAAGUGUCUAUUGUUUCCUACACAUGUGGCCACCUGCUCCCUCCCAUGCAAAAAAAAAAAAAAAAAAGACACUGUUCUGAUCCAAUUUGGAAAGGUAACCUUUGCAUUAGUUGUUACAUAAAAGUCACAACUACUUUUAAGUUUUCAAAAAGGCAGAAGCGUCAAUCACAAAUCUCUCAUGUCACAUCUGUUUUGGUCCCAAAUAUAUACAUCAUUGCAUAGAAUCACAAUCAUGGAUUAUUAUGUCAGCAUUAAGUCAGUGGAAGCACACAAUUCAGGGUUGGCACAGCUGCAUCAGCAACCAUAUUACUUUUUUUGGAACAACACUACUUGUUAGGUCUGCCAGUCAAGCAGCAAGUGAUUUGAUAGGUGCCUGCCAAUGAGCCCCUUGCAGUGUCACAGAGGAUUAUAGGAUGCAACUCUCAGAAUAUGUGGUGCAGCUGCUUUCAGUGGCAAAAUGUCAGCCCUGUGGAAACUGCCAAUAUCUACUUCCCAUAAUGUUUUGAGUUGUUGCCAAAUGGUUUCCUGUCUGCAGGAAACCUCAUGGAUGUAGAUCCAGUUUUACAUGGUUUGAGAGCCAGACUCCUAUAUGUGUAUCAUUUUUCCCUUUAAUCACUGCAGUUGUCAUAAUUAUGUAAACAGGUACUAAUGUCUUUUCUUUCUGAUGGCUGAUGACCAAAAUAAAGUUUGA